rnacentral:lncRNA from 1 species
CGGUAUGUUGGCUAUUCGCAGUGAGGCUACUUAGUUUGACUACACAUUUUUUUGAUCCCUAGCCAUUUGGGUCCUUACUGUGUAUGUUGGCUACUAUAGGUUCAGAUUCACUGUUUGGAGUAGGAUAUACUUAGAUGAAAUCUAUCGACCUUGAUAGAAAAGAAGUAGUCCAAUGUGAUUCGCAAGACUGAGUUCAGAAAGUCUCUGGCCAGAGCAAGAGUAAAUACUGAAAAAUAGUUUCCACAGGAUUCACAGAUGAACUCGAGUUGAGCCAAUAUGAUAUAUAACUGACGAUGGGGUUUGACGAGUUCUCCAUAACCUCCGUCUAAUCGAG